CCUGUUUUCUUUUCUUAAAACAAAACAAAACAGAAACAGAAACAGCAACUACACAAAAACAGCGUUUGGGCUGAUUUUAGUAACCCAAUUUGAAUGGGUUUACUCAAACUGGGUUACUUCCUCCCGAGGAAAGAGUUGUCACUGUGUUCAACAUUCUUUCUAAUAGCGUGAUCUCUUCCUCGUUCUCUUGUGGUCACAGCUGCCGGAGCACUUUCAGCUGGAAGGUGCCGUGUGCUGAAGGAGCUCUUUAGUGACAGGAAGUGACUGGGUGCGAGAAGGUUUAUAGGGCUCCACUUCGGGCGACAAGGAAGUACGAGACUGACUGUAAAUGAUUUGGGGACUGUCCCCACAGAUUCUUCUCGGUGAGUAAACUAUGGAAGGGCACAUUGAGACGCAGCGGAAGGAAGGCAUUCUCUCUCUUACCUUUGCAGAACAGGAACUUCUGCGACUCGGCCCGGCCUCCGUGGUGACCCGCUUUGCACCAGAAGCAUUUCUCUCGAUCAGAGCCCGGAUCUGGCUGUCCAGCUCCAGGCUUUCACACCUGCCCAGGGGGACACAGGAAAGUCACAUUUUACAAAGGCCUUUCUGUUUAAAGAAAACAACCUGUUGGUGGCUCCAGCUGCAAUGUAGGCGGCUUGUAAAGGCGAUGUUAGGAGAAGCUUGAGAGAGAAGAGAUGAGGGUCGGGAAUCCACUCUUGCCCCUCCUUUCUGGAACUCCCCGGUUUUUAAAGUGGUGGACGGUGCCGGCAGAGCAGCCAACUCGAAGCAGAGAUGAAGUGCAGCUGCGGGUGCUGGUGUGAGCCCCAGUGAGAGCUGGAACUGACGGUGUGUGACCAACUGCAGCAGCCAGGGAACAAUGGCUCCGAGGAGAGAGAGUCACAACGUCCAGCGAUUCCUGGAACUCCAGCCCAGCCGGCCAUCCGAGUCCUCCAUCCGCUCACCGAGCUGUGCUGGAAACUAACCUGUCACGGUGGAACUGAGCCCGAGGGAGGUGCCACAAAGUGAAACUGGCUUCUGGAUCUGCCGGGUGAGAGUGAAAGUAAAGGUCACUUUUUGGUCCCCUGAGACCAAGACGCGACGGCAGCUCAUCCCUCAGCCCCGCAUCCUUCCUUCCGAGCCCCGGAUCACGCAGACCUUACAGAGUCUUCAUACGGAGUGGUGAACACCACCAGUUUCUCAUCUUUGUUCAUGAGCUGUCCGCACGGAAUCUAAAAGAAAAAAAAUUGAAGGACGUGAGGCUCAGACGUGUCUCAAAUGAAGUUUACUAUCCCAGCCAGAUGCGAGAAGACAGACCACAAGCUUACCUUCUGCCGGGUCCUAAUCAAAGCUUGUGACAGCUGUUUGAAAGUCAUCUGUUACCACCAUGGUCGCCAGUUACGAGAUGAAAGCCAGUGUCUGUCAGGACUGUUGUAGGAGGUGGACCACCAACUAGAACAGCUAUCUUUUAUUAAUAACUAUGCAGGAUUGCAAGACCGCCCGCCCCUUACGUGGCACUCGGGAGGUGGUACACAAUUUCACAAAUUCAUUGAACAGGAAGGCAAGUGACAUGCUGCCUGACAGAGUGACUUCUAUUUCUGAAAGAUGAAGUUUUAAAAAUUGAAUUAAUAAAUGAAAUGAAAUAAACUUGUAGGAAGGGUUUUUAA